rnacentral:RNase_P_RNA from 1 species
CGAGUAAGCCGGAUGACCGCGGGGAGAAAUCCCUGAGGAAAGUCCGAGCUCCAUAGGGCAGGAUGCCGGGUAACGCCCGGUGGAGGCGACUCCAAGGAAAGUGCCACAGAAACAAACCGCCGGCGCUACGCGCCGGUAAGGGUGGAAAGGUGAGGUAAGAGCUCACCAGCGGGCAGGUAACUGUCCGGCUAGGCAAACCCCAUCCGGAGCAAGACCAAAUAGGGGGACGAUAGAGUGGCCCGCUCUGUCCCCGGGUUGGUCGCUUAAGGCCUCUGGUGACAGAGGUCUCAGAUAGAUGGUCAUCCUCGACAGAACUCGGCUUACAGGCUUACUCGCUUG